rnacentral:sRNA from 1 species
CCUGCCGGCGACGACGACGACGCGGCUUCCGUGGCGGUGAAGUUGCGGUACCGCGCGACGAACGGCGCCUGCGACCAGUCCGUCUUGACGCGCCCGCCCUGCGUGGCCCAGUCGUCGGCGUUCCACAGGCUCCCGUACAGCCGCAUCCGCUGCGACGACGGGUAGGCGAUCCCCUUGUCCGCGUGGUUCUUCAUCUCCCGGAUCGGCUGAAUUGCAUGAGCUUACAGGAUGUGCUGCGAGGUCCAGACGAUGGAGUAGGUGUGGAAGUCGGUGGUGGGGUCGAACCAGAGGUGGAACUGCUGCUCUUUGCCGCCGGUGCCAUUGGCGAAGACGUUGGUGUGCAGCGUGUACGGCUGCCCGGUGACGUUGCCGAGGAACUCCAGGUCCACCUCAUCUGCGAGUGCUGGCUUACGUAGCAGGUGGUGACCGUGCCGGCGGAGUUGUUGGCGACGAGCUUGAUCUGCAGGUCGACGCGCGCGAACAGGUACGUGUUCUUGGACCUCCACCCGGAGCCGGAGGUGUGGUCGAGCGACAGCGCCAUCACCUGCCCGUCCGGCGAGACGCUC